AGCGAACGCUGGCGGCAGGCUUAACACAUGCAAGUCGAGCGGGCCCUUCGGGGUCAGCGGCGGACGGGUGAGUAACGCGUGGGAACGUGCCUUCUGGUUCGGAAUAACUCAGGGAAACUUGAGCUAAUACCGGAUACGCCCUUUUGGGGAAAGGUUUACUGCCGGAAGAUCGGCCCGCGUCUGAUUAGCUAGUUGGUGGGGUAACGGCCUACCAAGGCGACGAUCAGUAGCUGGUCUGAGAGGAUGAUCAGCCACACUGGGACUGAGACACGGCCCAGACUCCUACGGGAGGCAGCAGUGGGGAAUAUUGGACAAUGGGCGCAAGCCUGAUCCGGCCAUGCCGCGUGAGUGAUGAAGGCCUUAGGGUUGUAAAGCUCUUUUAUCCGGGACGAUAAUGACGGUACCGGAGGAAUAAGCCCCGGCUAACUUCGUG
rnacentral:rRNA from 1 species